AUAGUCUCAUCGGUAUAAUACAAGCUUCACUCUUCUUCAUAAACUCCCAGUGUCAAAAUGAAGUUGCUCUUCACAUUCGCCAUUAUUGCCAUCGCCUUGAGCGUUGUUUACAGCGCCCCUGAUCCUUGGAACGAGUACAAGAUCAAACACGGCAAAAAAUUCGGCGCAUCAAAAAGUUUGAAUUCAAAUUUGCCUCCCUUUCAUAAUUCGUCAGUUUGAUUGACAAACGAAAGAAGAGAUGGAGCGAGUGAACAAGUUGAAUAAUAUAAACCUGAGUGCCAUUUCAGCCUAAACGAACGACUCGGGUCUCAUGGGGCCAGACGGGCUACUUUUUCAUCCAUAGCGCGGAGUCAACAAGUGUAAAAUCGAGCAAUAUCCAGCGGUCAUUUUAUCUGUCGUUCGUCGUCGAUAUUUUGUUGACAGAUUCAAAUAUCAAAUUCACAAUAUUAAAUAAUUAGUCAUGUUUCUCAAUAAAUCUCACAAUUUGACAGACGACCGCUGAAUUGAAUCAAUAUCGUGGAGAAGCCAUCAAACCCUCCAAUACAAUUCCAUCAUUGGAGUGGCACAUAACCAUUGACAUGGGAGGUCGAGCACUCCCUACCAGCCUAAGACUACCGCGCCGAUAAUUGUUUGAUGCCCGUAAAAGACCAAGGACAGGUAAUAAAAUUCAUCAAUAUUUUUUUGGCAUUAAAUAAACUUCGUUGGGGAGGAGGGGGAAUGAUCUAUCGACUACUAUGGAUCGUAUCCGGAAUUCGUGUUGGGGAACCGGAAGGGGCCUGUCUGGUUCCAUUCUGAUGCAGAGAGUGUAAUAGCAUCGAGAAAUAUCCCGCUUACGUUAUAGCAGCCUAAAGAACGCUGACAGCUCUAUAUUCAGUUUAUUCCUACGCCUUUUAUAUAGGCUAUUAAUUUCUUAAACUAAAUCUGUGAUCAAACGCAUUCCGAUCAAACCAUAAUGGCCCGAUAAGAGUGCAACGAAAUGAAAUUUGAAAAUUAAUACC